AGACCGGUACAAGCGAGGUAGGAGAAGAGUUGGCAAAUCCGCUCUUUAAUCUGAAGACGUGAUGUGGACUGAAAAUAAGUAGGGAAGCACGUGAGCUGACUGUCAAGAAAAGCCGCUAUUGUUUGCAGGAUACCCGUACCGUAAACCGACACAGGUGGAUGAGGAGAGAAUCCUAAGGCCGACGGGAGAAGCAUUGUUAAGGAACUCGGCAAAAUGACUCCGUAACUUCGGGAGAAGGAGUGCCAGUAAGAUGGCCGCAGAGAAUUGGCCCAAGCAACUGUUUAGCAAAAACACAGGUCUAUGCAAAACCGAAAGGUGAGGUAUAUGGGCUGACGCCUGCCCGGUGCUGGAAGGUUAAGGGGAGAGGUUAGCGCAAGCGAAGCUUUGAACUUAAGCCCCAGUAAACGGCGGCCGUAACUAUAACGGUCCUAAGGUAGCGAAAUUCCUUGUCGGGUAAGUUCCGACCCGCACGAAAGGCGUAAUGAUUUGGGCACUGUCUCAACAAUGCACCCGGUGAAAUUGAAAUACCAGUGAAGAUGCUGGUUACCUGCGCCAGGACGGAAAGACCCCAUGGAGCUUUACUCCAGCUUGAUACUGGGAUUCGGUAUUGCAUGUACAGGAUAGGUGGGAGGCUAGGAAAUGGUAACGCCAGUUGCCAUGGAGCCAAUGUUGGGAUACCACCCUUGCAGUACUGGGUUUCUAACCAGCAGCCGUGAUCCGGCUGGGGGACAAUGUCAGGUGGGGAGUUUGACUGGGGCGGUCGCCUCCGAAAGGGUAUCGGAGGCGCUCAAAGGUUCCCUCAGAAUGGUUGGAAACCAUUCGAAGAGUGCAAAGGCAGAAGGGAGCUUGACUGCGACACCGACGGGUGGAGCAGGUACGAAAGUAGGACUUAGUGAUCCGGUGGUAUAAAGUGUGAUUGCCAUCGCUCAACGGAUAAAAGCUACCCUGGGAUAACAGGCUUAUCACUCCCAAGAGUUCACAUCGACGGAGUGGUUUGGCACCUCGAUGUCGGCUCAUCGCAUCCUGGGGCUGAAGUAGGUCCCAAGGGUUGGGCUGUUCGCCCAUUAAAGCGGUACGCGAGCUGGGUUCAGAACGUCGUGAGACAGUUCGGUCCCUAUCCGGCGUGGGCGUAAGAUAUUUGAGAGGAGCUGUCCUUAGUACGAGAGGACCGGGAUGGACUGGCCGCUGGUGUAUCUGUUGUCUUACCAAAGGCAUAGCAGAGUAGCCAAGCCAGGAAGGGAUAAACGCUGAAGGCAUCUAAGCGUGAAGCCCCCCUCAAGAUGAGAUAUCUCAUAACGUCAAGUUAGUAAGACCCCUUGAAGACGACGAGGUAGAUAGGGCAGAGGUGGAAGUGUGGUAACACAUGGAGCUGACUGUUACUAAUAGGUCGAGGGCAUAACCG
rnacentral:rRNA from 1 species